rnacentral:rRNA from 1 species
UACGAAGGGGGCUAGCGUUGUUCGGAAUUACUGGGCGUAAAGCGCACGUAGGCGGCGCAGCAAGUUGGGGGUGAAAUCCCGAGGCUCAACCUCGGAAUUGCCUUCAAAACUGCUGUGCUCGAGUUCGGAAGAGGUGAGUGGAUUUCCCAGUGUAGAGGUGAAAUUCGUAGAGAUUGGGAAGAACACCAGUGGCGAAGGCGGCUCACUGGUCCGCAACUGACGCUGAGGUGCGAAAGCGUGGGGAGCAAACAGG